CAGCAGCCGCGGGAAUACGUAGGGUGCAAGCGUUAAUCGGAAUUACUGGGCGUAAAGCGUGCGCAGGCGGUUCGUUAAGACAGAUGUGAAAUCCCCGGGCUUAACCUGGGAACUGCAUUUGUGACUGGCGGGCUAGAGUAUGGCAGAGGGGGGUAGAAUUCCACGUGUAGCAGUGAAAUGCGUAGAGAUGUGGAGGAAUACCGAUGGCGAAGGCGGCUCACUGGUCCAUUACUGACGCUGAGGUGCGAAAGCGUGGGGAGCAAACAGGAUUAGAUACCCGUGUGUCCCUGUCUCUUAUACA
rnacentral:rRNA from 1 species